GGGCUUAAUGAAUCCAAUCCGGAUAAAGAAACUCCAACUUUUAUGGAAACGCGUCGUUUCUGAUUUAGGGUAACACGUUCUUCAUUUCCCCCAUUCGAGAGCUAAUCUCAACCUAAGGUUUCUCUGGUGCUGUUUCAUCUUCUUCAUAACAAUCCUAGAAACUAUCAGUUACAAAUUCAUCCUCUUAAAUCCACCACCCACGAUCUACCUUGAAUGAGAUCUUCACGUAAGGCUGUGGAAUUACAACUAUAAAAAGAUUUGAAGACCGGAUGAGUACGGCACAGUAGGAGGAGGAAAGCGGUAGCGACAGAGGAGAGGAGGAUCAAGGCAAUUAGGGACCAGCCGUGUCCGGUUUGAAUCCAGUUGUUUAUUGUAAUUUUUCCGUCCUGUUCAUCAUUAUUUUGAACACACAGGGUGAUUAGAUUCAUAUUUAUCAGAAUUAUGCUUUUAGUAUCAUAGUUUUCCUUUUUACAAUAUGAUUUGAAUCUGUUGUUUAUUAUUUUAUUAUUUUUGGUAAUCGGUUUCAGGCAACAUUCAUUCCAGUGUUCAUGUCUUCCCACUUAUAAGUGACUGGGUUCUAUGUUUUACUUUGAUUUCACUUGGUGUAAUCAGAACUUUUGACUGUAGACUCUCUUCAAUUGAUGCGGUCCAGUGAUGAACCCGGUUUGAUGAGUUAACCGAACCGAUUACACCCAUUCCUGAAGAACACUUCGGGUUCCGUAAUCACAGUGAACUGCUUUGCAUAAUCAACACCAAUACCUUGACAAAGUCUUAUUUUGUUUCUUGAUGAGCUACUGCUCAAAAUCUUGAAUCUUUUUUUUUUGUUUAGGUAAAUGUAUGAACUCCAAGAGUUUCUGAAACAAGCGUGAGGAGAACAGCAGUUUGAGGAAGGAAUGGUAGUUUAUUGGAUUGUUGAAGAUGGCUGUCAAUGAAGGUAUUAACUUAGCUAUCAGACUUGGUGUGAAGUGAUCCUUAUGUUGUCUUCAAUCUAGGGAAGCAAAAACUUCAAACAGCAGUUGUGAAUAGUAAUUUGAACCCGUAUGGAAUCAAGAACUUAUGAUGUCUGUUCCUAAGAGCUAUGGUCAUCAAGUUGAUAUCCAGCCUCUGAUACAUUCUCUGCUGAUGACAAAAUGUGAGAAGCUCAACUUGAUAUCCAGCCUCUGCUGAUGACAUAAAUUAUGAUACAUUCUCUGCUGAUGACAUAAUGGGAGAAACUCAACUUGAUAUCCAGCCUCUGAUAACAUCUGCAAUGGCGUUUGAGGAUCCAUAGAUGUUUGGGGAUAUGCAGAUUGGGAAAUGGCUAAAGUUGCAUGAUAAUCUGCCAAUAGAUGACAGCAUCAUUAACAUUGUUGAUGGGAAAGUGAAGCAUGCAUGAGGUUUAGAUCAAGCUUCAAGAUGUAGAGUCUGUAGAAUUCGAGAUGGAAAUGGAAUGGCUACCACUCGACCAAUAAUACUAAUACCAGUAGGUUCCACUUUAUAAACUUACACUUUUUGCAAUACAUACAUUCCUUUUUUUUUUGUUGAAACAUUUUUAGAUCUCUCAUUUCCUUACACAAAAAUGUAUGUUUGUAAUAUUUUGUUUCUUGGUGGCUAUAUCUUACAAAGUUACUGAUAAGAACUUGCGAAUA